GUGCUCGCUUUGGCAGCACAUAUACUAAAAUUGGAAAGAUACAGAGAUUAGCAUGGCCCCUGCACAAGGUUAUAGUUCAUGUACAAAUUGCUAUUAAUUUGU
ensembl:snRNA U6 U6 spliceosomal RNA